UACGGAGGGUGCGAGCGUUGUCCGGAAUCACUGGGCGUAAAGGGCGCGUAGGCGGCAGGCCAAGCGUGCGGUGAAAGUCCGGGGCUCAACCCCGGAUCUGCCGUGCGGACUGGUUUGCUAGAGCACUGUAGAGGCGAGUGGAAUUCCGGGUGUAGCGGUGGAAUGCGUAGAGAUCCGGAAGAACACCGGUGGCGAAGGCGGCCAUCUGGGACAACACUGACGCUGAAGCACGAAAGCGUGGGGAGCAAACAGG
rnacentral:rRNA from 1 species